rnacentral:rRNA from 1 species
ACACACCGCCCGUCACACCAUGAGAGUUGGAGAUACCCGAAGCCUAUGAGCUAACUUUUAGAGGCAGUAGUCGAAGGUGGAAUCAAUGAUUGGGGUGAAGUCGUAACAAGGUAGC